GGGCUCGUGGUCUAGUGGCUAUGAUGCCGCCCUCACAAGGCGGUGGUCGCGGGUUCGAAUCCCGCCGAGCCCACCA
rnacentral:tRNA from 1 species